GACGAACGCUGGCGGCGUGCUUAACACAUGCAAGUCGAACGGAAAGGCCCUGCUUUUUUGGGGUGCUCGAGUUGCGAACGGGUGAGUAACACGUGAGUAACCUGCCCUUGACUUUGGGAUAACUUCAGGAAACUGGGGCUAAUACCGGAUAGGAGCUCCUGCUGCAUGGUGGGGGUUGGAAAGUUUCGGCGGUUGGGGAUGGACUCGCGGCUUAUCAGCUUGUUGGUGGGGUAGUGGCUUACCAAGGCUUUGACGGGUAGCCGGCCUGAGAGGGUGACCGGCCACAUUGGGACUGAGAUACGGCCCAGACUCCUACGGGAGGCAGCAGUGGGAAAUAUUGCACAAUGGGCGGAAGCCUGAUGCAGCAACGCCGCGUGCGGGAUGACGGCCUUCGGGUUGUAAACCGCUUUCGCCUGUGACGAAGCGUGAAUGACGGUAAUGGGUAGAGAAGCACCGGCUAACUACGUG
rnacentral:rRNA from 1 species